UACGAAGGGGGCUAGCGUUGUUCGGAAUCACUGGGCGUAAAGCGCACGUAGGCGGAUUUUUAAGUCAGGGGUGAAAUCCCGAGGCUCAACCUCGGAACUGCCUUUGAGACUGAGUGGCUUGAGUACGAGAGAGGUGAGUGGAAUUCCCAGUGUAGAGGUGAAAUUCGUAGAUAUUGGGAAGAACACCGGUGGCGAAGGCGGCUCACUGGCUCGUAACUGACGCUCAUGCACGACAGCGUGGGGAUCAAACAGG
rnacentral:rRNA from 1 species